rnacentral:tRNA from 1 species
GGCUCAUUGGUCCAGCCUGGAAUGGAUACUGCCCUGUCACGGCAGAGACGCCGGUUCAAAUCCGGUAUGAGCCGC